AUCGAGGCACGGGAAAAUAAUGUCUCCAAUCAGGAAGCUGCCGUCAGGCUGUAAUUCUCCCCUGCUGCGGCAUGUCGUGUCACAUAGACGGCAAGUGCACAUGAUUCUGAACAAGAAGGACAGUGAACUGAGUUUAGUUUUUCAAUUAAGGGUGGAUGAUUUUGACUAUGCUGUGUUUGUAAAUUCUGGAACUCUGAAGUGUUUUGGCUGCGGGAAAGAAGGGCAUUUAGUCAGAGCUUGCCCGGAAAUAGCCCCCAAAAAUCGGCCUAAACCUGCUGAGGCGAAAGCAGGCCCCUCCAAAUAUGUGGACGCUGUAAAACAGCGGGCUGCAAGCAUUGAGAUCACAGAAGAAAAUGUUGUAACUGCAAAGCAGUGUGGGGAAAAUCCAGAAAUGGCUUUUCUAUUAUGUGUUGACAAUGGAAAAAAUGAGUGUGGUGUUCAGGAGAAGGGGGACAAUGUUACAGAACCAGCAGAGAGUGUAGAGGCUGGGCCCAGCUCUGCUGCAGUAGAGCAGAGUGACAGUGAGGGUGGGUUGAUGGAGGAGGAAGACAGUAGGUGUAAGGCUCCCCUUCUUAAAAGGAAACAGACCAGCGAAACCUGUGGCUCUAAAGCCAAGAAAACAGCAGAAGGGGAGGAGAAGGAGGUGCAGACAGAGUCUAGUGGUGAAGAGACAGAGUCCAGUGAGGAGGAGGAGGAGCAGACAGAGUCUAGUGGUGAAGAGACAGAGUCCAGUGAGGAG
ensembl:lncRNA